rnacentral:rRNA from 1 species
AACGAACGCUGGCGGCAGGCUUAACACAUGCAAGUCGAACGCCCUCUUCGGAGGGAGUGGCAGACGGGUGAGUAACGCGUGGGAAACUACCUUUCAGUACGGAACAACAGUUAGAAAUGACUGCUAAUACCGUAUACGCCCUUCGGGGGAAAGAUUUAUCGCUGAUAGAUGUGCCCGCGUUAGAUUAGCUAGUUGGUGAGGUAAUGGCUCACCAAGGCGACGAUCUAUAGCUGGUCUGAGAGGAUGAUCAGCCACACUGGGACUGAGACACGGCCCAGACUCCUACGGGAGGCAGCAGUGGGGAAUAUUGGACAAUGGGGGCAACCCUGAUCCAGCCAUGCCGCGUGAGUGAUGAAGGCCCUAGGGUU